CUUGCUUCCUUGAGCUUCUGGCAAAGAUAUCUCUAAUGAGACAGAGAGGGGUAUUUUUUAUAUACAUCCCUACAUACUUAUUAACCCUUAAUAGGGAACACAUGGGAUGGGCAGCAGCAUUGUAACAUAGCUGUGUGAUACAAAAAAGUCAGUGUAGGAACCCACCUGAGGGGGUCUGCCUUGACGUUGGCAGACGGGCAUUCCCUCCAAUGGCCAUUGGAGUAACUAAAUGACCUCCAUUUGUUUAAAUAUACAUAGGGAUUUAGGAGAGAGUGCAGGUAACUUUUUCUUUGGUUUUUACUGUAUGUAUUGGGGCUGAUGUGUAAUGUGGUCGUUGCUGCCCCCAGG